CAAGUCGAACGAGAAAGCGGGGGCAACCUCGUGAGUAAAGUGGCGUACGGGUGAGUAACACGUGGGUAAUCUACCUCUAGUGGGGAAUAACGCUGGGAAACCGGCGCUAAUACCGCAUAAGCUCGAGAGAGGAAAGCAGCAAUGCGCUGAGAGAGGAGCCCGCGGUCGAUUAGCUAGUUGGUGAGGUAAGAGCUCACCAAGGCAAAGAUCGAUAGCCGGCCUGAGAGGGCACACGGCCACACUGGCACUGGGACACGGGCCAGACUCCUACGGGAGGCAGCAGUGGGGAAUCUUGCACAAUGGGGGCAACCCUGAUGCAGCGACGCCGCGUGAGCGAUGAAGCCCUUCGGGGUGUAAAGCUCUUUCGGCAGGGACGAUAAUGACGGUACCUGCAGAAGCAGCUGCGGCUAACUACGUGCCAGCAGCCGCGGUAAUACGUAGGCAGCGAGCGUUGUUCGGAGUUACUGGGCGUAAAGGGUGUGUAGGCGGUUCUUUAAGUUUGGUGUGAAAUCUCCCGGCUCAACCGGGAGGGUGCGCCGAAUACUGAGGGACUAGAGUAUGGGAUGGGAAAGUGGAAUUCCUGGUGUAGCGGUGAAAUGCGUAGAUAUCAGGAGGAACACCUGUGGUGUAGACGGCUUUCUGGACCAUAACUGACGCUGAGACACGAAAGCGUGGGUAGCAAACAGGAUUAGAUACCCUGGUAGUCCACGCCCUAAACGAUGCAUAUUUGGUAUGGGUGGUUCAUUCUAUCCGUGCCGGAGCUAACGCGUUAAAUAUGCCGCCUGGGGAGUACAGUCGCAAGGCUGAAACUCAAAGGA
rnacentral:rRNA from 1 species